CUCCAGUGAUGAUACUCCACUUCUGGUCCGUGUUUUUGAUGUCCUGAUAACAAUGGAAGUACUGAUGAG
ensembl:snoRNA SNORD18 Small nucleolar RNA SNORD18